GAUUGAACGCUGGCGGCAGGCUUAACACAUGCAAGUCGAACGGUAGCCGGAGAAAGCUUGCUUUCUUGCUGACGAGUGGCGGACGGGUGAGUAAUGCUUGGGAAUCUGGCUUAUGGAGGGGGAUAACGACGGGAAACUGUCGCUAAUACCGCGUAGUAUCGGAAGAUGAAAGUGCGGGACCGCAAGGCCGCAUGCCAUAAGAUGAGCCCAAGUGGGAUUAGGUAGUUGGUGGGGUAAAGGCCUACCAAGCCUGCGAUCUCUAGCUGGUCUGAGAGGAUGGCCAGCCACACUGGAACUGAGACACGGUCCAGACUCCUACGGGAGGCAGCAGUGGGGAAUAUUGCGCAAUGGGGGGAACCCUGACGCAGCCAUGCCGCGUGAAUGAAGAAGGCCUUCGGGUUGUAAAGUUCUUUCGGUAUUGAGGAAGGAGUGUAUGUUAAUAGCAUACAUUAUUGACGUUAAAUACAGAAGAAGCACCGGCUAACUCCGUG
rnacentral:rRNA from 1 species